CCUACGGGAGGCAGCAGUGGGGAAUAUUGGACAAUGGGCGCAAGCCUGAUCCAGCAAUGCCGCGUGUGUGAAGAAGGCCUUCGGGUUGUAAAGCACUUUUAUCAGGAGCGAAAUACCACGGGUUAAUACCCUAUGGGGCUGACGGUACCUGAGGAAUAAGCACCGGCUAACUUCGUGCCAGCAGCCGCGGUAAUACGAAGGGUGCAAGCGUUAAUCGGAAUUACUGGGCGUAAAGCGUGCGUAGGUGGUUUUUUAAGUCUGCUGUGAAAUCCCCGGGCUCAACCUGGGAAUGGCAGUGGAUACUGGAAAGCUAGAGUGUGAGAGAGGAUGGUGGAAUUCCCGGGUGUAGCGGUGAAAUGCGUAGAGAUCGGGAGGAACAUCAGUGGCGAAA
rnacentral:rRNA from 1 species